UUAACCUAUACCACUUUAAGAAUCAAAUCAAUUAUUUUUCUAUUCUCUUUUUUGUUCUUGUUUCCAGAGGACAUAGGGCCAGUAGUCUUGCUUCAUAGGAACUAGCUGUACUGGCAUAGAGAAACAUUACCCAUUCCACCUGUAAAGACAGGAGGACAGGAAGCAAGGCAUGACAGCCUAGGGCAAGCCUCCAUAAAGCUGCAUAAAAGGCAUGGUCUGCCAAUCCACAUGUUGGCACCACAGACCUCAUUAAGGGAAACACCUCUGGAAGACAACUGAUUUUGAAUUUGAGAAGUGAUUGCACACCAUAAUCAGUCAACUGCAUGUGUAUGAACAGGAGCAUCUGCUACUCACAUUUUCAAAACUACCUUUUCCACAGGUACAUUCCAGAGUGCAACAAACCACUUCCACAUGUGGGGGCUGAUCUCUCAACUAUAUAUCUUACCUGCCUUUUGUGUCAUCACAGAUUUCUUUAGAAGUUAAAGUUCACUUCAAAGUCAUGGUGAAGUCAAAACUUUUCCAGGUGCAAGGAUUUCUCUUCAGAGAUGUGGGUGAUCAAGGCCGGGAAAAACUGUGAGUUAGGGGAGGGCUACCUUCCAGCUAACAGACCUUAAAGUGGAUCUGCUGAGUCCUGAGCUAAAGAGAAUAAAACCUGGUGCAGAGUGAGGGUCCCUUUCUCAACAGCAAGUUUUGUCUAGACUUGGUCUUGACAGAGACCUGGUGGGAGCUAUGGCCUGGGCACCCAUGUGGCCCUGGAGCUGCAGAAAAUA
rnacentral:lncRNA from 1 species